CUGUGCCUUCAGCAGUCAGAGUCCCUGUGCUGCCCACUCUCAGGAGAGCAGCUCCGUGAGGAGGUAGCAGCUUCCGAGUGCCUGAGACUGAGUCUCUGUGAAAGGAUAUAGAUGCCUAAGAAACAGGAGAAGGAGGCCCGCUCCCAGCCCAAGAAAGGGCUGAUGAGGGUGCAGGCACUGGGAGAGAGAUGGACGGUGAGCCACAGGCCGCAGCAAGCUGUGCUGCCAGGCAGCUGCAAGAAUGCAUCCCACCGUGGGGUCCGUCUGCCACCACUACCCCGCCUGGAGAUUCCACAGGUCUCUAAAUACCCCCGCACACAGGUGAGCCACAGGCCGCAGCAAGCUGUGCUGCCAGGCAGCUGCAAGAAUGCAUCCCACCAUGGGGUCCAUCUGCCACCACUACCCCGCCUGGAGAUCCCACAGGUCUCUGAACCCCCCCGCACACAGGAGGACCACAGGCCAUAGCAAGGUGUGCUGCAGGGCAGCCAGAGCCCAGCCUUACUCCUCAGUGGGUCCUGGAGCUCCAUCUGGUGAGGCAAAGGCCAAGUCUUCAGCUUCUGCUGUGGCUUCAGGUCCUGGGCCGGAGUGACACCAUGUGUCUGAAUCAUGAGAACAACUUUUCCAUAUUGUGAGAACAGCCUUCCAUAUAACUUGAGCAGAUACAAACUGAAGGACGGAG
rnacentral:lncRNA from 1 species